rnacentral:rRNA from 1 species
AGAGCGAACGCUGGCGGCAGGCUUAACACAUGCAAGUCGAGCGGGCGUAGCAAUACGUCAGCGGCAGACGGGUGAGUAACGCGUGGGAACGUACCUUUUGGUUCGGAACAACCCAGGGAAACUUGGGCUAAUACCGGAUAAGCCCUUACGGGGAAAGAUUUAUCGCCGAAAGAUCGGCCCGCGUCUGAUUAGCUAGUUGGUGGGGUAAUGGCCCACCAAGGCGACGAUCAGUAGCUGGUCUGAGAGGAUGAUCAGCCACAUUGGGACUGAGACACGGCCCAAACUCCUACGGGAGGCAGCAGUGGGGAAUAUUGGACAAUGGGCGCAAGCCUGAUCCAGCCAUGCCGCGUGAGUGAUGAAGGCCCUAGGGUUGUAAAGCUCUUUUGUGCGGGAAGAUAAUGACGGUACCGCAAGAAUAAGCCCCGGCUAACUUCGCGACAGCAGCCGC